rnacentral:rRNA from 1 species
GAUGAACGCCGGCGGCGUGCCUAAUACAUGCAAGUCGAGCGAACGGACGAGAAGCUUGCUUCUCUGAUGUUAGCGGCGGACGGGUGAGUAACACGUGGAUAACCUACCUAUAAGACUGGGAUAACUUCGGGAAACCGGAGCUAAUACCGGAUAAUAUUUUGAACCGCAUGGUUCAAAAGUGAAAGACGGUCUUGCUGUCACUUAUAGAUGGAUCCGCGCUGCAUUAGCUAGUUGGUAAGGUAACGGCUUACCAAGGCAACGAUGCAUAGCCGACCUGAGAGGGUGAUCGGCCACACUGGAACUGAGACACGGUCCAGACUCCCACGGGAGGCAGCAGUAGGGAAUCUUCCGCAAUGGGCGAAAGCCUGACGGAGCAACGCCGCGUGAGUGAUGAAGGUCUUCGGAUCGUAAAACUCUGUUAUUAGGGAAGAACAUAUGUGUAAGUAACUGUGCACAUCUUGACGGUACCUAAUCAGAAAGCCACGGCUAACUACGUG